rnacentral:rRNA from 1 species
GAUGAACGCUAGCGGCAGGCUUAAUACAUGCAAGUCGAGGGGCAGCACAGGUAGCAAUACUGGGUGGCGACCGGCAAACGGGUGCGGAACACGUACACAACUUACCUUAAGGUGGGGGAUAGCCCAGGGAAGCUUGGAUUAAUACCCCAUAAUACAGGGGGCCCGCAUGGGUCUAUUGUUAAAGAUUUAUUGCCUUAAGAUGGGUGUGCGUCUGAUUAGGUAGUUGGUGAGGUAAAGGCUAACCAAGCCAACGAUCAGUAACUGGUGUGAGGGAACGACCAGUCAGACGGGGACUGAGACACGGGCCCGACUCCUACGGGAGGCAGCAGUAAGGAAUAUUGGUCAAUGGACGGAAGUCUGAACCAGCCAUGCCGCGUGAAGGAUGAAGGUCCUCUGGAUUGUAAACUUCUUUUAUAGGGGGCGAAAAAGGGCCUUUUGAGGUCAACUGACGGUACCCUAUGAAUAAGCACCGGCUAACUCCGUGCCAGCCGCCGCCGUAAGAC